AAGUCGUAACAAGGUUUCCGUAGGUGAACCUGCGGAAGGAUCAUUAUUGAAAAUAAACCUGAUGGGUUGCUGCUGGUUCUCUAGGGAGCAUGUGCACGCUUGUCGUCUUUAUAUCUCCACCUGUGCACCUUUUGUAGACCUGGAUGUCUCUCUGAGUGCUAGUCACUCAGGUUUGAGGAUUGACUUCAUGUCUCUCCUUACAUUUUCAGGCCUAUGUUUCUUCAUAUACCCCAAUGUAUGUCUUAGAAUGUAAUCAAUGGGCCUUUGUGCCUAUAAAUCUAUACAACUUUCAGCAACGGAUCUCUUGGCUCUC
rnacentral:misc_RNA from 1 species